UUAACCAACAAUUUGCAUGGUUUACCAAUAAAACAAUUUGUGUUAGCAAUCAUAGAAAAUAUAAUCUACAUUCUUUGCACAUGUAAUCCCACAUGAACGGUGUGUUUUUUUAAUUAGGAGUCGAUUAAUCAACGAAUGCCAACAUUAGAUACGCGCAAUUGGAAAAGAAUUUAAAAUUUUAUUGGCGAAACGUCACAGUCUUAAGAUCGUAAUCGAAUUCGAGAUUAGAUUAAGAUUAUGACCAUAUAUAAUAUUUGCAGUGUUUAAACUAAAGGAAUCUCAUAACAUAA